rnacentral:rRNA from 1 species
UGGGGAAUCUUGCACAAUGGGCGAAAGCCUGAUGCAGCGAUUCCGCGUGGAGGAUGACGCAUUACGGUGUGUAAACUCCUUUUUUGGUGGAAGACGAAUGACGGUACACCAAGAAUAAGGGACGGCUAACUACGUGCCAGCAGCCGCGGUAAUACGUAGGUCCCAAGCGUUAUCCGGAUUUACUGGGCGUAAAGUGUCCGUAGCCGGAUAUAUAAGUCUGUUUUCAAAUACCACGACUCAAUCGUGGAAAGGGAAUAGAUACUGUAUAUCUAGAGAAUAUUGGAGGUUAGUGGAAUUUCCGGUGGAGCGGUGAAAUGUGUUGAUAUCGGAAAGAACGCCGAAAGCGAAAG